ACGAACAGCUGGAAACGACUGCUAAUACCGCAUACGAUCUAAUCUCGGCAUCGAGGAUGGAUGAAAGGUGGCCUCUACAUGUAAGCUAUCACUGAAGGAGGGGAUUGCGUCUGAUUAGCUAGUUGGAGGGGUAACGGCCCACCAAGGCGAUGAUCAGUAGCCGGUCUGAGAGGAUGAACGGCCACAUUGGGACUGAGACACGGCCCAG
rnacentral:rRNA from 1 species